AUUGCUGGGUCAUAUGAUAGUUCCAUGUUCAGCCUUUUGAGGAACUGCGACUUUUUCAUAGUAGCUAUACCAUUUGCAUUGUCACCAGCAAU
rnacentral:pre_miRNA from 1 species